rnacentral:rRNA from 1 species
GACGAACGCUGGCGGCGUGCUUAACACAUGCAAGUCGAACGAAGUGGCGAACGGGCGAGUAACGCGUAAUCAACCUGCUCACCUGCCGGGGACAACAGUUGGAAACGACUGCUAAUACCGCAUACGGAAGGAGGGGCCUGCGUCGGAUUAGCUAGUUGGAGGGGUAACGGCCCACCAAGGCGAUGAUCAGUAGCCGGUCUGAGAGGAUGAACGGCCACAAUUGGACUGAGACACGGGCCAGACUCCUACGGGAGGCAGCAGUGGGGAAUCUUCCGCAAUGGACGAAAGUCUGACGGAGCAACGCCGCGUGAAUGAUGACGGCCUUCGGGUUGUAAAGCUCUGUUAAUCGGGACGCGGUACCGGAAUAGAAAGCCACGGCUAACUACGUGCCAGCAGCCGCGGUAAUUC